rnacentral:rRNA from 1 species
GACGAACGCUGGCGGCGUGCCUAACACAUGCAGGUCGAACGGAAAGGCCCGGCUUUGGUGGGGUGGUCGAGGGGCGAACGGGGGAGGAACACGUGGGUAACGUGCCCUUGACUGAGGGAGAACGUCAGGAAACUGGGGCUAAUAGCGGGUAGGAGCUCCCGCUGCAUGGUGGGGGUUGGAAAGAUUCGGUGGUUGGGGAUGGACUCGCGUCUUGUCAGCUUGUUGGUGGGGUAGUGGCUUACCAAGCCUAUGCCGGGUAGCCGGCCUGAGAGGGUGAGCGGCCCCAUUGGGACUGGGAUACGGCCCAGCCUCCUACGGGAGGCAGCGGUGCGGAAUAUUGCACUAUGGGCGGAGGCCUGAUGCAGCAACGCCGCGUGCGGGAUGACGGCCUUCGGGUUGUAUACCGCUUCCGCCUGUGCCGAGGCGUGAGUGACGGUAACGGGUAAAGAAGCACCGGCUAACUCCGUA